rnacentral:rRNA from 1 species
AGUGAACGCUGGCGGUAGGCCUAGCACAUGCAAGUCGAACGGCAGCACAGUAAGAGCUUGCUCUUACGGGUGGCGAGUGGCGGACGGGUGAGGAAUACAUCGGAAUCUACUUUUUCGUGGGGGAUAACGUAGGGAAACUUACGCUAAUACCGCAUACGACCUACGGGUAAAAGCAGGGGAUCUUCGGACCUUGCGCGAUUGAAUGAGCCGAUGUCGGAUUAGCUAGUUGGCGGGGUAAAGGCCCACCAAGGCGACGAUCCGUAGCUGGUCUGAGAGGAUGAUCAGCCACACUGGAACUGAGACACGGUCCAGACUCCUACGGGAGGCAGCAGUGGGGAAUAUUGGACAAAGGGCGCAAGCCUGAUCCAGCCAUACCGCGUGGGUGAAGAAGGCCUUCGGGUUGUAAAGCCCUUUUGUUGGGAAAGAAAAGCAGCAGGUUAAUACCCCGCUGUUCUGACGGUACCCAAAGAAUAAGCACCGGCUAACUUCGUG